rnacentral:rRNA from 1 species
GUACACUCCUGCGGGAGGCAGCAGUGGGGAAUUUUGGACAAUGGGCGAAAGCCUGAUCCAGCAAUGCCGCGUGUGUGAAGAAGGCCUUCGGGUUGUAAAGCACUUUUGUCCGGAAAGAAAUCCUUGGCUCUAAUACAGUCGGGGGAUGACGGUACCGGAAGAAUACGCACCGGCUAACUACGUGCCAGCAGCCGCGGUAAUACGUAGGGUGCGAGCGUUAAUCGGAAUUACUGGGCGUAAAGCGUGCGCAGGCGGUUUGCUAAGACCGAUGUGAAAUCCCCGGGCUCAACCUGGGAACUGCAUUGGUGACUGGCAGGCUAGAGUAUGGCAGAGGGGGGUAGAAUUCCACGUGUAGCAGUGAAAUGCGUAGAGAUGUGGAGGAAUACCGAUGGCGAAGGCAGCCCCCUGGGCCAAUACUGACGCUCAUGCACGAAAGCGUGGGGAGCAAACAGGAUUAGAAACCCCGGUAGUCCCAUG